CCAGGGAAAAAGUUAUUGAUUGUACCUGGAGAAUAAGAAGUUGCUAAACUCGUGCCAGCAGCGGUAAUACGAGUGCUUCAAGCGUUAUCCGGAAUCAUUGGGCGUAAAGGGUGUGUAGGUGGCGAUAUUAGUCUUUCGUAAAAUCUCUCGGCUCAACCGAGAGUCUGCGAGGGAAACGGUAUUGCUAAGAGGACGAGAGAGGUUUCUGGAACUCAUAGUGUAGCGGUGAAAUGCGUUGAUAUUAU
rnacentral:rRNA from 1 species